rnacentral:misc_RNA from 1 species
UCUCCGUAGGUGAACCUGCGGAGGGAUCAUUACAGAGUUUUUGCCCGCAAGGGUAGAUCUCCCACCCUAUGUUAUUCCUUCUCUGUUGCUUUGGCGGGCCGUCCGGCCUCGGUCAGGCCACCGGCUCCGGCUGGUGCGCGCCCGCCAGAGGACCCAAACUCUUGUCGUUUUCAGUAUCAGUGAUAACUCUGAGUGGCACGUCAGUGCAAUAAAAAAAUGAAUCAAAACUUUCAACAACGGAUCUCUUGGUUCUG